AUGGAUAGGAGGUCCCAUACUCAGCUCCUGGGGCUACUGCUGCUCUGGCUCUCAGGUGCCAGUUGUGACACCCAGAUGACCCAGACUCCAUCCUCCCUGUCUGCAUCUCCAGGAGACAAAGUCACCAUCACUUGCAGGGCCAGUCAGAGUAUUAGCAAUUACUUAAACUGGUUUCAGCAGAAACCAGGGAAUGCUCUUAAGCUCCUGAUCUACAAUACUAACAGUUUGGAAUCUGGGAUCCCAUCAAGGUUCAGUGGCAGUGGAUAUGGGACAGACUUCUCUCUCACUAUCAGCAGCUUGGAGCCUGAAGAUGUUGGGACUUAUUUCUGUCAGCAGUAUGAUGAGCUCCCACGCACAUAUGGCCAAGGAACACAGUCUAGUGUCAAAAAAUCAGUGCUGUGA